CCACCUGUGCCAGUUAGCUUGCUCGAACACCUGUGUGUAAACGUAACUGUGGAGGAAGUGUAGUUCGUUGGCUGGAGGCACACAGAUGUAUGGAUCUGUGCAAAUCUGAUACAGACCUGAGCCCUAGGACCAUGCCCCAGGACUACCUGACAUGAUGACUCCUUGCUGUCCCCAGUCCACCUGGCCAUGCUGCUGCUCCAGUUUCAACUGGCCUGGGCCCUAGGACCAUGUCCCAGGACUACCUGACAUGAUGACUCCUUGCUGUCCCCAGUCCACCUGACUGUUCUGCCUUAUUAUUAUUCGACCAUGUUGGUCAUUUAUGAACAUUUGAACAUCUUGGUCAUGUUCUGUUAUAAUCUCUACCCGGCACAGCCAGAAGAGGACUGGCCACCCCACAUAGCCUGGUUCCUCUCUAGGUUUCUUCCUAGGUUUUGGCCUUUCUAGGGAGUUUUUCCUAGCCACCGUGCUUUUACACCUGCAUUGUUUGCUGUUUGGGGUUUUAGGCUGGGUUUCUGUACAGCACUUUGAGAUAUCAGCUGAUGUACGAAGGGCUAUAUAAAUAAAUUUGAUUUGAUUUGAUAAAACCAUGUUUUCAUAAAACUAGAUAGGGGUAGACAACUUGAGUCUUAGGUAGGUCAUAAUUCCAAAAAUAAACUAACAAUAAAAUGUCAUUGUUAUACUGAAAAUAUAAAAUGCAACAAUUUCAAUGCUUUUACUAAAUUACAGUUCAAAAGUCAGUCAAUUGAAAUAGAAUCAGAAUGUUUUCUCACCACAAAAGGGCUUUAAUUACAGACAGAAAUACUCCAGUUUCAUCAGCUGUCCGUGUGGCUGGUCUCAGACGAUCCUGCAGGUGAAGAGGCCAGAUGUGGAGGACCUUGACUGGUGUGGUAACACAUGGUGUGUGGUUGUGAGGCCAGUUGGAUGUACUGCCAAAUAGUCUACAAUGACAUUAGAGGCAGCUUAUGGUAGAGAAAUUAACAUUAAAUUCUCUGGCACCAGCUCUGGUGGACAUUGCUGCAGUCAGCUUGCCAAUUGCACACUCCCUCAAAACUUGAGACAUAUGUGGCAUUGUGUUGUGACAAAACUACACAUUUUAGAGUGGCCUUUUAUUGUGCAUAGCACAGGGCACAUCUGUGUUAUGUUCAUGCUUUUCAAUAUGCCACACUGGAUGGAUUCUUUUGGGAAAGGAGAAAUGCGCACCAACAGGGAUGUAAACAAAUCUGUGCACAACAUUUGAAAGAAGCUUUUGGAAAAUCUUUGGAAUAUUUUAUUUCAGCUCAUGAAAUCAACACUUCACAUGUUGCAUUCAUAUUUUUGUUCUGUAUACAAGUCAUAACUCAAACUAUUAUGCUGUUUUUUUUGUGUCAGGCUUCAUCACUUUUGCCAGCAGGGGGAAGAUUUAGACAGGGCACAUACUUCAUGAGGUCACUGCAGUCUAUCCGACAGGAAUUCUCAUGCUAGAAAGAUACUAAUUCUUCUCUACCUAGCCCCAUCCCAAAAUGUUUAAAUCACAGGGAACAUUAUUAAUAACCAGAGGUAUAUUCAUCGAGGUGAAACGUUGCAAAUGCUCCUCACUGAUUUGAAUACACUGAAGGAUUUACAUGCAAAUUCCCAGCACGCUUAUGCCAGCAAGCCAGACCCACAUACCUACAGUUCUAUAUUCUGAUAAUUCAUCAUGCACCUUGAACGUCCACCAUACUGAAAAUACGGUUUCAAAAGUAUGAAAACUUCACCUUCCUCGGAA